GAUGAAGAACGCAGCGAAAUGCGAUAAGUAAUGUGAAUUGCAGAAUUCAGUGAAUCAUCGAAUCUUUGAAUGCACAUUGCGCCCCCUGGCAUUCCGGGGGGCAUGCCUGUUCGAGCGUCAUUACAACCCUCAAGCUCUGCUUGGUAUUGGGCUCUGCUGGGACCGGCAGGCCUUAAAAUCAGUGGCGGCGCCACUCGGCUUCAAGCGUAGUAAUUCUUCUCGCUUCGGAGACCCGGGUGCGUGCUAGCCAGCAACCCCCAACUUUCUUAGGUUGACCUCGGAUCAGGUAGGGAUACCCGCUGAACUUAAGCAUAUCAAUAAGCGGAGGA
rnacentral:misc_RNA from 1 species